rnacentral:rRNA from 1 species
AGCUCUCGCUAUUAGAUGAGCCUAAGUCGGAUUAGCUGGUUGGUGGGGUAAAGGCCUACCGAGGCGACGAUCUGUAGCUGGUCUGAGAGGAUGAUCAGCCACACUGGGACUGAGACACGGCCCAGACUCCUACGGGAGGCAGCAGUGGGGAAUAUUGGACAAUGGGCGAAAGCCUGAUCCAGCCAUGCCGCGUGUGUGAAGAAGGCCUUUUGGUUGUAAAGCACUUUAAGUGGGGAGGAAAAGCUUAUGGUUAAUACCCAUAAGCCCUGACGUUACCCACAGAAUAAGCACCGGCUAACUCUGUGCCAGCAGCCGCGGUAAUACAGAGGGUGCAAGCGUUAAUCGGAAUUACUGGGCGUAAAGCGCGCGUAGGUGGUUAUUUAAGUCAGAUGUGAAAGCCCCGGGCUUAACCUGGGAACUGCAUCUGAUACUGGAUAACUAGAGUAGGUGAGAGGGGAGUAGAAUUCCAGGUGUAGCGGUGAAAUGCGUAGAGAUCUGGAGGAAUA